GCAGAAUAGGAAAUGAAGGGACUAAGAACACAUCAAAAACUGAAAGAGAUAAGAACUGGAAGAGAUUUUACCCCAGCCUAAAUCUUCACAAGGAACAGAAAGCCUGUGAAGCCUGUGUGACUGAGGUUUUUGUCUGCCCUGUGCUAUCCUGUAAACACCUGCUCCCUGACACCAAGUGAAAGCUCAGUCUUCUUAUACUGCACUGCCACUAUCAAACAAAGAUCCACCAUGUCUUCUGCAGGAGUACCUGAUGUGGACCCCGAUGCUGAUUUUGUAUACGACUAUGAAACUCUGCGUAUUAUUGGUUUGACUUUGCUGGAGUCCUUGUGUUCCUGUCCAUUCUCCUUCUUGUCGGCAACCGCAUUCGUUGCUGUGGAAAGUCCAAGCGCAAAGCAGUGGGUGAAGCAAUCUAAACAUGGCCCUGGCACUUAAAAAAACUGUGUAGAUGAGAGGUGUAGGUGUAAUAAAAUGUAUUUUUAAAUGAUGAAAUUAAGUAUUUUAUUUUAGGUAUUAAAAAUCUAUAUGAAUUCCUUCAAAGAAUAUUUGUGCUGCACUAUGUACUCUAAAUGAAGACAUUGUGUGCCCAUAUAUUCUGGAAUUAAAAAAAUACAUGCAUACACUGUGUUGAAAGUGUAGUGAAGCACAUAGUGAUUUAAAAUACAAAUUUAUCUUGGAGCAGACAGAAGCAGGAUGGAAAAAUACAGUAUAGUAAUUGAAUAAUAAUAAUAACAGCAACCCUAUAAUAUGACACAAGGUGGCAGCAACGUGUAAUCUCUGUAGUAGUAGAGCAUAUCGUUCCAGUGCAUUUUAACAGCAAGCAGAAAUAAAUAAAACAUUAGUACAAUAUUAAUUUUAUUAAACUUCUUAUAACACGAAUAAACCUAUUUUAUAGAAUUCGUGAAUGUUCUCUCAUUUAUUCACUGUCCAUAAAAAAUUUGGAAACAAAAUAAAAGCUUUUAUCUUUU